GACAGAGGGUGCAAACGUUGUUCGGGAUUACUGGGCGUAAAGCGCGUGUAGGCGGACCCGCAAGUCGGACGUGAAAUCCCUGAGCUCAACUCAGGAACUGCAUCCGAAACUGCGGGUCUGGAGUGGUGGAGAGGGAAGCAGAAUUCCUGGUGUAGAGGUGAAAUUCGUAGAUAUCAAGCGGAACACCGGUGGCGAAGGCGGCCUUCUGGACAGUAACUGACGCUGAGACGCGAAAGCGUGGGGAGCAAACAGG
rnacentral:rRNA from 1 species